UACAGAGGUCUCAAGCGUUGUUCGGAUUCAUUGGGCGUAAAGGGUGCGUUGGUGGCGGGGUAAGUCAGGUGUGAAAUCUCGGGGCUCAACCCCGAAACUGCACUUGAUACUGCCUUGCUCGAGUACUGGAGAGGAGAUUGGAAUUUACGGUGUAGCAGUGAAAUGCGUAGAUAUCGUAAGGAAGACCAGUGGCGAAGGCGAAUCUCUGGACAGUUACUGACACUGAGGCACGAAGGUCAGGGGAGCAAACGGG
rnacentral:rRNA from 1 species